AAGGGGGAAGGUGUCCCUAAAAGAAGCUGCUAACUAUCUUUUAAAGCGGUUAAAUUCCGUUUUCCCCCUU
rnacentral:tRNA from 1 species